rnacentral:rRNA from 1 species
GACGAACGCUGGCGGCGUGCUUAACACAUGCAAGUCGAACGGAAAGGCCCUGCUUUUGUGGGGUGCUCGAGUGGCGAACGGGUGAGUAACACGUGAGUAACCUGCCCUUGACUUUGGGAUAACUUCAGGAAACUGGGGCUAAUACCGGAUAGGAGCUCCUGCUGCAUGGUGGGGGUUGGAAAGUUUCGGCGGUUGGGGAUGGACUCGCGGCUUAUCAGCUUGUUGGUGGGGUAGUGGCUGACGAAGGCUUUGACGGGUAGCCGGCCUGAGAGGGGGACCGGGCACCUGGGGACUGAGAGACGGACCAGUCUCGUACGGGAGGCAGUAGUGGGGAGUAUUGCACAAUGAGCGGAAGCCUGAGACAGCAACGCCGCGUGCGGGAUGCCGGCCUUCGGGUGGUAAACCGCUGUCGCCGGUGACGAAGCGUGAGUGACGGUAAUGGGUAAAGAAGCACCGGCUAACUACGUG